GUGAAGAACGCAGCGAAUUGCGAUAAGUAAUGUGAAUUGCAGAAUUCAGUGAAUCAUCGAAUCUUUGAACGCAUCUUGCGCUCCUUGGUAUUCUGAGGAGCAUGCCUGUUUGAGUGUCAUUAAAUUCUCAACUACACUGACUUUGAAUUGGUGUGGCUUGGAUUUGGGGGGAAAAUUGUUGUGGGCUUUUUGUAUAGUCUGCUCCCCUGAAAUUGAUUAGCGGUACCUUUGUGGAACUGUCUACAGGUGUGAUAAUUAUCUACAUCUUAGACAUCUGCUGGAAUGCUGCUUUCUAAACCUUACUUGUAUUGACAAUCUUGACCUCAAAUCAGGUAGGACUACCCGCUGAACUUAAGCAUAUCAAUAAGCGGAGGA
rnacentral:misc_RNA from 1 species